rnacentral:rRNA from 1 species
GAUGAACGCUGGCGGCGUGCUUAAUACAUGCAAGACGAACGAAGACAGUAGCAAUAUUGUCUGAGUGGCGAACGGGUGAGUAACGCGUUGGUGACCUGCCCCGAAGAGAGGGAUAACAGUCCGAAAGGAUUGCUAAUACCCCAUGUGGUCGUUUGGAUUAGAUGCCUUAUGACUAAACGGAUUUAUUCGCUUCGGGAGGGGCCUGCGUCCCACCAGCUAGUUGGUAGGGUAAUGGCCUACCAAGGCGAUGACGGGUAGGGGACCUGAGAGGGUGGCCCCCCACAAUGGAACUGAAACACGGUCCAUACACCUACGGGUGGCAGCAGUAGGGAAUAUUGGUUAAUCUGGGAAACCGGGAACCAGCAACGCCGCGUGCACGAUGAAGGCCUUCGGGUUGUAAAGUGCUCUUUGAAAGGAUGAGGAAGGACAGUACUUUCAGAAUAAGCUUCGGCUAACUACGUGCCAGCCGCCGCCGUAAUAC